rnacentral:rRNA from 1 species
GAUGAACGCUGGCGGCGUGCCUAAUACAUGCAAGUCGAGCGAACAGAUGAGGAGCUUGCUCCUCUGACGUUAGCGGCGGACGGGUGAGUAACACGUGGAUAACCUACCUAUAAGACUGGGAUAACUUCGGGAAACCGGAGCUAAUACCGGAUAAUAUAUUGAACCGCAUGGUUCAAUAGUGGAAGACGGUUUUGCUGUCACUUAUAGAUGGAUCCGCGCCGCAUUAGCUAGUUGGUAAGGUAACGGCUUACCAAGGCAACGAUGCGUAGCCGACCUGAGAGGGGGAUCGGCCACACUGGAACUGAGACACGGUCCAGACUCCUACGGGAGGCAGCAGUAGGGAAUCUUCCGCAAUGGGCGAAAGCCUGACGGAGCAACGCCGCGUGAGUGAUGAAGGUCUUCGGAUCGUAAAACUCUGUUAUUAGGGAAGAACAAAUGUGUAAGUAACUAUGCACGUCUUGACGGUACCUAAUCAGAAAGCCACGGCUAACUACGU